rnacentral:rRNA from 1 species
GUCAGUGAAAUACCACUCUAUGUUUGUUAGAUGUCUAACCCUAAGCCGUUAUCCGGCUAGGGGACAGUGCUUGGGGGUCAGUUUUACUGGGGCGGUAUCCUCCUAAAGAGUAACGGAGGAUUACGAAGGUUUCCUCGGUCCGGUUAGCAAUCGGACUUUAAAGCAUACUGGUAUAAGGAAGCUUUACUGUGAGACCUACAAGUCGAGCAGUUGCGAAAGCAGGUCAGAGUGAUCCGGUAGUUGGGUGUGGAACCGCUAUCGCUUAAAGGAUAAAAGGUACUCUAGGGAUAACAGGA